GCCAACAUUCUGCAUUGCAGUUCUAGAGUGCAGCCCGGCUUUCUCCACCGGACCUCUCUUAGGGCCGAUCUCUCUUCUCUUGCUCGUCUGUUCUUCCUCACGUUGUCGCUCCUCGCGAGACCUCACUGUGCUGGUUGCAAUGGCCGCCGUCGGAAUGACCAUGUCGCUCAAGAGCAGCACUGCCUUGAAGGGUGACUUCCUGGGUGCUGCUUUGAAGCAGACCGUAGCUGCCCCCAAGGCCGCCAAUGUGGCGUUCGCUGUCCGUGCCG
rnacentral:lncRNA from 1 species